rnacentral:rRNA from 1 species
UAAGGAAUAUUGGUCAAUGGACGAAAGUCUGAACCAGCCAUGCCGCGUGGAGGGUGAAGGUCCUCUGGAUUGUAAACUUCUUUUAUCUGGGACGAAAAAAGGUCUUUCUAGAUCGUCUGACGGUACCAGAUGAAUAAGCACCGGCUAACUCCGUGCCAGCAGCCGCGGUAAUACGGAGGGUGCAAGCGUUAUCCGGAUUCACUGGGUUUAAAGGGUGCGUAGGUGGGUUGGUAGGUCAGUGGUGAAAUCUUCGAGCUUAACUCGGAAACUGCCAUUGAUACUAUCAGUCUUGAAUAUUGUGGAGGUUAGCGGAAUAUGUCAUGUAGCGGUGAAAUGCUUAGAUAUGACAUAGAACACCAAUUGCGAAGGCAGCUGGCUACACAUAUAUUGACACUGAGGCACGAAAGCGUGGGGAUCAAACAGGAUUAGAUACCCUGGUAGUCCACGCCCUAAACUAUGGAUACUCGACAUACGCGAUACACUGUGUGUGUCUGAGCGAAAGCAUUAAGUAUCCC